rnacentral:rRNA from 1 species
AACGUAGGAGACAAACGUUAUCCGGAGUUACUGGGCGUAAAGGGCGUGUAGGCGGUUUGUUAAGUUUGGCGUGAAAGCUCUCGGCUAAACCGGGAGAGGUCGUUGGAUACUGGCAAACUAGAGGACGGUAGAGGCGUGUGGAAUUCCGGGUGUAGUGGUGAAAUGCGUAGAGAUCCGGAGGAACACCAGUGGCGAAGGCGACACGCUGGGCCGUACCUGACGCUAAAGCGCGACAGCAUGGGGGAGCAAACGGG